rnacentral:tRNA from 1 species
GGAAGAACAAGCCAACCGGCGAUGGCACUCCGCUCGAGACGGAGCGAGCCCGAGAGGGCCUUGGGGGUUCGAUUCCCUCUUCUUCCG